GACGAACGCUGGCGGCGUGCCUAAUACAUGCAAGUUGAGCGCUGAAGGUUGGUACUUGUACCAACUGGAUGAGCAGCGAACGGGUGAGUAACGCGUGGGGAAUCUGCCUUUGAGCGGGGGACAACAUUUGGAAACGAAUGCUAAUACCGCAUAAAAACUUUAAACACAAGUUUUAAGUUUGAAAGAUGCAAUUGCAUCACUCAAAGAUGAUCCCGCGUUGUAUUAGCUAGUUGGUGAGGUAAAGGCUCACCAAGGCGAUGAUACAUAGCCGACCUGAAAGGGUGAUCGGCCACAUUGGGACUGAGACACGGCCCAAACUCCUACGGGAGGCAGCAGUAGGGAAUCUUCGGCAAUGGACGAAAGUCUGACCGAGCAACGCCGCGUGAGUGAAGAAGGUUUUCGGAUCGUAAAACUCUGUUGGUAGAGAAGAACGUUGGUGAGAGUGGAAAGCUCAUCAAGUGACGGUAACUACCCAGAAAGGGACGGCUAACUACGUG
rnacentral:rRNA from 1 species